rnacentral:rRNA from 1 species
GAGCGGAUGACGGGAGCUUGCUCCUUGAUUCAGCGGCGGACGGGUGAGUAAUGCCUAGGAAUCUGCCUGGUAGUGGGGGACAACGUUUCGAAAGGAACGCUAAUACCGCAUACGUCCUACGGGAGAAAGCAGGGGACCUUCGGGCCUUGCGCUAUCAGAUGAGCCUAGGUCGGAUUAGCUAGUUGGUGGGGUAAUGGCUCACCAAGGCGACGAUCCGUAACUGGUCUGAGAGGAUGAUCAGUCACACUGGAACUGAGACACGGUCCAGACUCCUACGGGAGGCAGCAGUGGGGAAUAUUGGACAAUGGGCGAAAGCCUGAUCCAGCCAUGCCGCGUGUGUGAAGAAGGUCUUCGGAUUGUAAAGCACUUUAACUUGGGAGGAAGGGCAGUAAGCUAAUACCUUGCUGUUUUGACGUUACCGACAGAAUAAGCACCGGCUAACUCUGUG